AAAAAAAAACUGUUGCGAGAGUAUGAAAAUAUCUGCAUUUUACUGUUCCAACUGAUACAUUUUUAUGGGAAAGUAUCCAUGUUGAUCAGCCUGUGAAUAAAAGGAUCACUGAUGAUGUUUUUUAUGGGAAGAUCUCUUGUGAAAUGACACAAAACACAACACUCUGAAACUCAUGCCAUUUGUGACAAUGUAUCCAGUUGUAUCCGUGAUGGAUCACAGCUGCUGCUUCCACCAAUAUAGUUUUGGUUAUUGAGCUUUGUAGCACUUACCCAAAAGGACCAAGG